GCUGGGAGCUCAAUACUGCAGAGAAGAGGCAGUCUAGGAAUUUCCUGGAGCAUAUAGAGGACAAUUUCCUUUGUCAACUGGAAGUUUUGAGAGUUACACCAGGAUUGAACAGUGGAUGAAGACUAGAAGACAUUGCAACUGCUGCAAUAUACAUAAGUUUUAUGAUGCAGUUUUCUGUUACACUGUGAAUGA